rnacentral:rRNA from 1 species
GAAACGUGCGCCUGGGAAGUACGGUCGCAAGGCUGAAACUUAAAGGAAUUGGCGGGGAGCACACAACGGGUGGAGCCUGCGGGUUUAAUUGGACUCAACGCCGGGCAGCUCACCGGAUAGGACAGCGGAAUGAUAGCCGGGCUGAAGACCUUGCUUGACCAGCUGAGAGGAGGUGCAUGGCCGUCGUCAGUUCGUACUGUGAAGCAUCCUGUUUAGUCAGGCAACGAGCGAGACCCACGCCAACAGUUGCUAGCAUGUUCUCCGGAAUGAUGAGGACACUGUUGGGACCGCCUCUGCUAAAGAGGAGGAAGGAAUGGGCAACGGUAGGUCAGCAUGCCCCGAAUUAUCCGGGCUACACGCGGGCUACAAUGGUCAGGACAAUGGGAAACGGCACUGAAAAGUGUAGUCAAUCUCCUAAACCUGUCCCAAGUUCGGAUUGUGGGCUGCAACUCGCCCACAUGAAGCUGGAAUCCGUAGUAAUCGCGUUUCAAAAUAGCGCGGUGAAUAAGUCCCUGCUCCUUGCACACACCGCCCGUCAAACCAUCUUAGUGAGGUUUGGAUGAGGCUGUGGUUAACUGCCACAGUCGAAUCUAGGUUUCGCAAGGAGGGUUAAGUCGUAACAAGGUAGCCG